rnacentral:rRNA from 1 species
CCUACGGGAGGCAGCAGUGAGGAAUAUUGGACAAUGGGCGCAAGCCUGAUCCAGCCAUGCCGCGUGCAGGAAGAAGCAUCUAUGGUGUGUAAACUGCUUUUGUACAGGAAGAAACACUCCCUCGUGAGGGAGCUUGACGGUACUGUAAGAAUAAGGACCGGCUAACUCCGUGCCAGCAGCCGCGGUAAUACGGAGGGUCCGAGCGUUAUCCGGAAUCAUUGGGUUUAAAGGGUCCGUAGGCGGUUUAAUAAGUCAGUGGUGAAAUCUGGUCGCUCAACGAUCAAACGGCCAUUGAUACUGUUAGACUUGAAUUAUAAGGAAGUAACUAGAAUAUGUAGUGUAGCGGUGAAAUGCUUAGAUAUUACAUGGAAUACCAAUUGCGAAGGCAGGUUACUACUUAUGGAUUGACGCUGAUGGACGAAAGCGUGGGGAGCGAACAGGAUUAGAUACCCUGGUAGUCCACGCCGUAAACGAUGGAUACUAGCUGUUCGGAGCAAUCUGAGUGGCUAAGCGAAAGUGAUAAGUAUCCCACCUGGGGAGUACGUUCGCAAGAAUGAAACUCAAAUGAAUUGACCGGNNGAGACGNGCGAGNGACGAGAGGAG